rnacentral:rRNA from 1 species
AUAUGCAGUAGUGGAUUGAAAGAGAAACCAUUGCCUACUGCCUAAGACCUAUUGCCUGGAAGCGCGUCAAAGACGCGCUUGGUUUCUAAGCAUUGUUAUGAGGUAUCUUCACCUGAAUAAAAUAGGGUGUAAGAAGCGAACGCAGGGAACUGAAACAUCUAAGUACCUGCAGGAAAGGACAUCAACCGAGACUCCGCAAGUAGUGGCGAGCGAACGCGGACCAGGCCAGUGGCAAUGAAGUAUAAAGUGGAAGAACCUGGAAAGGUUUGCCGUAAAGGGUGACAGCCCCGUACGCGUAGAUGACUUUAUUGUCCUAGAGUAGGGCGGGACACGUGAAAUCCUGUCUGAACAUGGGGAGACCACUCUCCAAGCCUAAGUACUCGUGCAUGACCGAUAGCGAACCAGUACCGUGAGGGAAAGGUGAAAAGCACCCCGACAAGGGGAGUGAAAUAGAACCUGAAACUGGAUACCUACAAACAGUCGGAGCCCGCAAGGGUGACGGCGUACCUUUUGUAUAAUGGGUCAACGACUUAGUGUAACAAGCAAGCUUAAGCCGGUAGGUGUAGGCGAAGCGAAAGCGAGUCUGAAUAGGGCGAUAUAGUUUGUUGCAUUAGACCCGAAACCGAGUGAUCUAGCCAUGAGCAGGUUGAAGGUUGGGUAACACCAACUGGAGGACCGAACCCGCAUCUGUUGCAAUAGAUUGGGAUGACUUGUGGCUAGGGGUGAAAGGCCAAUCAAAUUCGGAAAUAGCUGGUUUUCCGCGAAAUCUAUUUAGGUAGAGCGUCUGACGAAUACCCCCGGGGGUAGAGCACUGGAUGGGCUAUGGGGACUCACCGUCUUACUGAUCCUAACCAAACUCCGAAUACCGGGGAGUACUAUCAGGCAGACACACGGCGGGUGCUAACGUCCGUCGUGAAAAGGGCAACAACCCUAACCUCCAGCUAAGGUCCCCAAGUCAUGGCUAAGUGGGAAAGGAUGUGAGGAUCCCAAAACAACCAGGAUGUUGGCUUAGAAGCAGCCAUCAUUUAAAGAAAGCGUAACAGCUCACUGGUCUAGUCAAGGGUCUUUGCGCCGAAAAUGUAACGGGGCUGAAGCCAUGCACCGAAGCUGAGGAUUCCUCUUUGAGGAGUGGUAGCGGAGCGUUCCGUAAGCUGAUGAAGGGGUACCCGUGAGGGGCCCUGGAGGUAUCGGAAGUGCGAAUGUUGACAUGAGUAACGAUAAAGAGGGUGAGAGACCCUCUCGCCGAAAGACCAAGGGUUCCUGCUUAAAGUUAAUCUGAGCAGGGUUAGCCGGCCCCUAAGACGAGGCGGACACGCGUAGUCGAUGGGAACCACGUUAAUAUUCGUGGGCCUGGUGGUAGUGACGGAUUGCUUAACUUGUUCACACUUAUUGGAUUGUGUGGGCGGGGACGCGGUUCCAGGAAAUAGCUCCACGGUAUAGACCGUACCCGAAACCGACACAGGUGGUGAGGUAGAGUAUACCAAGGCGCUUGAGAGAACUAUGUUGAAGGAACUCGGCAAAUUGCACGCGUAACUUCGGAAGAAGCGUGACCCUUAUAUGCGCAAGCAUGUGAGGGUGGCACAGACCAGGGGGUAGCGACUGUUUACCAAAAACACAGGGCUCUGCGAAGUCGCAAGACGACGUAUAGGGUCUGACGCCUGCCCGGUGCUGGAAGGUUAAGAGGAGGGGUGCAAGCUCUGAAUCGAAGCCCCAGUAAACGGCGGCCGUAACUAUAACGGUCCUAAGGUAGCGAAAUUCCUUGUCGGGUAAGUUCCGACCUGCACGAAUGGCGUAACGACUUCCCCGCUGUCUCCAACAUAGAUUCAGUGAAAUUGAAUUCCCCGUGAAGAUGCGGGGUUCCUGCGGUCAGACGGAAAGACCCCGUGCACCUUUACUAUAGCUUUACACUGGCAUUCGUGUCGGCAUGUGUAGGAUAGGUGGUAGGCUUUGAAGCAGGGACGCCAGUUCUUGUGGAGCCAUCCUUGAAAUACCACCCUUAUCGUCAUGGAUGUCUAACCGCGGUCCGUUAUCCGGAUCCGGGACAGUGUAUGGUGGGUAGUUUGACUGGGGCGGUCGCCUCCGAAAGAGUAACGGAGGCGCGCGAUGGUGGGCUCAGACCGGUCGGAAAUCGGUCGUCGAGUGCAAUGGCAUAAGCCCGCCUGACUGCGAGACUGACAAGUCGAGCAGAGACGAAAGUCGGUCAUAGUGAUCCGGUGGUCCCGUGUGGAAGGGCCAUCGCUCAACGGAUAAAAGGUACGCCGGGGAUAACAGGCUGAUGACCCCCAAGAGUCCAUAUCGACGGGGUUGUUUGGCACCUCGAUGUCGGCUCAUCGCAUCCUGGGGCUGGAGCA